AUUGAACGCUGGCGGCAGGCUUAACACAUGCAAGUCGAGCGGGGUGAUGGUGCUUGCACUAUCACUUAGCGGCGGACGGGUGAGUAAUGCUUAGGAAUCUGCCUAUUAGUGGGGGACAACAUCUCGAAAGGGAUGCUAAUACCGCAUACGUCCUACGGGAGAAAGCAGGGGAUCACUUGUGACCUUGCGCUAAUAGAUGAGCCUAAGUCGGAUUAGCUAGUUGGUGGGGUAAAGGCCUACCAAGGCGGCGAUCUGUAGCGGGUCUGAGAGGAUGCUCCGCCACACUGGUACUGAGACACGGCCCAGAAUCCUACGGGAGGCAGCAGUGGGGAAUAUUGGACAAUGGGGGGAACCCUGAUCCAGCCAUGCCGCGUGUGUGAAGAAGGCCUUAUGGUUGUAAAGCACUUUAAGCGAGGAGGAGGCUCUUUUGGUUAAUACCCAAGAUGAGUGGACGUUACUCGCAGAAUAAGCACCGGCUAACUCUGUGCCAGCCGCCGCGGUAA
rnacentral:rRNA from 1 species